UGGGGUCCGGAGUUUCUGCAGCACAGUCCGAUACGACAGAUUCUGACACAUUAACAAAAGUCGUGGGAGGGACGGUGGGAGCCGUGGGUCUUAUUGGUAUACUCAUCACAGGGAUACUGUAUAUACGAUGGAGAAGAAAGAACACAUGAAGACACGGAGACGGUAGCGUUUUCUUCUGUCCCAGAAACGUUAACAAUAGGUGCUAAAAGACAUGAAGAUAUGGAAAUGAGUGGAAUCGGAAAUCCUGGCUUAUAAUUAAAAACUAACGGGGAAAUGCUAAUGACGAAUACUAUAAUAGACAUAUCUGUCUCAGAUUUUGAUACAGCAAUAUUCGUCUUGUCUGAAAAUCAGAAUGUCAAGUUCAAAGAAGAAUACAUGAUAUGCAACUUUUGAUUAAUAAAAUUAUGUAACAGAUGACUCGUACAUAUGAAUAGUUCAAUUGAAAUUAAGUGGAUAUUGUGCAUGAUUGUCUGUAAUUUCUUGAUAUAUGAAAAUGAUUUAGCAAAACGUUUUAGUAUUAUUUCUUUGGAGGCUUUAAACUGG